UGUGUAGGUGGUUAUUUAAGUCCGUUGUGAAAGCCCUGGGCUCAACCUGGGAACUGCAGUGGAUACUGGAUGACUAGAAUGUGGUAGAGGGUAGCGGAAUUCCUGGUGUAGCAGUGAAAUGCGUAGAGAUCAGGAGGAACAUCCAUGGCGAAGGCAGCUACCUGGACCAACAUUGACACUGAGGCACGAAAGCGUGGGGAGCAAACGA
rnacentral:rRNA from 1 species